rnacentral:rRNA from 1 species
UACGGAAGGCAGCAGUGGGGAAUAUUGGACAAUGGGCGAAAGCCUGAUCCAGCCAUGCCGCAUGAGUGAAGAAGGCCUUCGGGUUGUAAAGCUCUUUUAGUGAGAAAGAUAAUGACGGUACUCACAGAAGAAGUCCUGGCUAACUCCGUGCCAGCAGCCGCGGUAAUACGGAGAGGGCUAGCGUUAUUCGGAAUUAUUGGGCGUAAAGAGCGCGUAGGCUGAUUAGUAAGUUAAAAGUGAAAUCCCAAAGCUUAACUUUGGAAUUGCUUUUUAAAACUGCUAGUCUAGAGAUUUGAAAGAGGAUAGAGGAAUUCCUAGUGUAGAGGUGAAAUUCGUAAAUAUUAGGAGGAACACCAGUGGCGAAGGCGUCUAUCUGGUUCAAAUCUGACGCUGAGGCGCGAAGGCGUGGGGAGCGAAACAGGGAUUAGAUACC